rnacentral:rRNA from 1 species
GAGCGCAACCCUUAUCCUUUGUUGCCAGCGGUCCGGCCGGGAACUCAAAGGAGACUGCCAGUGAUAAACUGGAGGAAGGUGGGGAUGACGUCAAGUCAUCAUGGCCCUUACGACCAGGGCUACACACGUGCUACAAUGGCAUAUACAAAGAGAAGGGACCUCGCGAGAGCAAGCGGACCUCAUGCCAAAGUAUGUGCCCAGAUGGGAUUAGCUUGUUGGUGAGGUAACGGCUCACCAAGGCGACGAUCCCUAGCUGGUCUGAGAGGAUGACCA